ACUCAUAGGAGACUGCCGGGGUCAACUCGGAGGAAGGUGGGGAUGACGUCAAAUCAUCAUGCCCCUUAUGUCUUGGGCUUCACGCAUGCUACAAUGGCCGAUACAAAGGGCUGCAAUACCGCGAGGUGGAGCGAAUCCCAAAAAGUCGGUCUCAGUUCGGAUUGAGGUCUGCAACUCGACCUCAUGAAGUCGGAGUCGCUAGUAAUCGCAGAUCAGCAACGCUGCGGUGAAUACGUUCCCGGGCCUUGUACACACCGCCCGUCAAGUCAUGAAAGUCGGUAACACCCGAAGCCGGUGGCCCAACCCUUGUGGAGGGAGCUGUCGAAGGUGGGAUCGGUGAUUAGGACUAAGUCGUAACAAGGUAGCCGUACCGGAAGGUGCGGCUGGAUCACCUCCUUU
rnacentral:ncRNA from 1 species